UAAAUUAUUGACUUGUAAUGGUGUCACUGUAUUAGGUAGGUUAUAGCAAGAAAAAUAGCAACAAGGGUAGUAACAAUAUUGAUAAUUAAUAAUAACCUCAGGCUAAUGAAUAAGGGGCUCAUUGUCCUUGCAUGAAUAUUCUUGCUGGUCCCAAUAAAAAAGGGGUAAACUCGGUCAGUUUUCCAGUGCUCUGGAGAGCACCUCAGUAUUUCUCCUGCAGGACCUUCUUUCAGACAACUGAAUUCUCUCAUUACUCUGCUGUGUUCACCUGUUACAUUUCAUUCAUUUCUUACAGGUUUUGCAUUAAAACUUGAUGCUUUUCCCCACUCUGGUCUUUAUGGCAGUGCUACCACUUGUUAAAACGUGAUAUGUGGUAUUUUGUAAAGCUUUCCAGAUUCAUGUGCUUAGAAGCAUCACUUGGUGUCUGCACUGAGAAUGAUUUUGGGCCAGGAAGUGGAGAAGACUGUAACAGGGAAAGGCUCGAAGCUGUUCUCCUAAGGCCUCUGUGGACUCUGAGGUCUGGAAGUACAGCACAAACAUUUGUCAUACCUGUGAAUUAGACUGAAAAAGACCACAAGCCUAGAGAAGACGUGUUCUGCAGAACUCAGUUGUCCAGAGCGCUGCACUUCCUCAGCUUCCACGGAUUUGAACUGUGAAGGAGCUCGAGGAUUUGCCAGCAGCAUUGUGGUUAUGGCCAAGCCCACACUUCCAGCUGGAGACAACCAGGAGCCAGGAUUGCAAGUACCAGAUGGGGCUUUUCUAACCUUUAGCUGUAUCGAUCCUUCAUAUAACAUAAAAAGGGAGAUGAUAAGGGACAUAACACUGCUUCAUUGGGAGCACCUUCUGUGCUUCGCACGCUAAUACUACUGUUCUCAGCAGGAACCUUCAGCGAGACGAACAGCAUACAUUUGGACAUCUAAGAUAAUCAGCUUAUAAUCAUGAAGAGGACAAAUGAUCCUGAUCUAUUUCUACAAAGGCAGAUCCUGUUCUGGCAUCCGAACAGCUGAGUAGGAGAGCACAUAACAUGAGGAUUGCCUCGCUGCUCUUCUGUCGUGAGACAGACCCGGACUAUAACGCAAGCUCAAGAUGUGCCCAAAUGUGCUAAACUGGGCUAGAAACAGCCCGGCAAAUGAUCUGUAGUCUUACAGUGAAUUAGAAUGCGAGUCCUGUGCCGCAGGGCAAAAUGUAGGUCAGGAUUUUGUAGCUUGAUCCAUUUUCUAAAAUCAGAGAAAAAACUGAGAAAUGCAACCUUUUCCUUCUUAAGGGGACUUUGUGGAAACUUCUUGAGCUCGUAGAUCAAAUUCAAAAUGAGAAAGGAACCUGUUUUCUGAAGCUAGUUUUGAUGUAACGCAGGAUAAUGGAAAUAGAGCUGGACAAGAAGUUUUCAUGAGCUUUCUACAAUCCCAGUUUUGAGGAAUCUCACAGAACAGCUUGGGAAGUUGGGUCCAGACCCAUGCCUAGGUAGGACAGCCCCCGCUCCAAAAUGCAUGUGACAAACUAAACACAGUCGUGUUCUGAAUUUCAUCACGGAGCGAGGGCAUUGGUGGUGAUGUGGAGGGGAAAUACUGCACCUGAGCCUCUACCAGAUCAUCUGAACCACUUAAUGAAUGAGGUGAGUGAGACUACAGCAUUUUCUAGGUCCUCUCCAAGCAGAUUUGGAGCACCCAUGAAUAUCAGACUUGUAGAACACUGGAACUAGAACACUGGAACUAGAACACUGGAACAGGCUGCCCAGGGGGGUUGUGGAGUCUCCUACUCUGGAGACAUUCCAACCCACCUGGACACCUUCCUGUGUAACCUCAUCUGGGUGUUCCUGCUCCAGCAGGGGGAUUGGACUGGAUGAGCUUUCAAGGUCCCUUCCAAUUCCUGACAUUCUGUGAUUCUGUAAGACAUAAUUUGAGGCCUGAUUCAGUGUGGAUACCAAGGUGGUGCAAUUUCAGUGAAACUACCUCUCCUUAUCCUACAGCCAAAGUGAAUUUAAUUCACUUGUGUGUUUUUGAAAAGACUUUGAAAAUGAAGAAUUACUCAAAACAGUCUCUAGUGAGUAUGGAUGUCCUUGCAGCCCUUACCAUAAAGUGAAUGCUAUGGUGUAAAUGUACAGACCACUUGGCAACAGAUAUUCACUGUCCUGUGAACAGAUGUUAAUCUUCCGUGUCAGUGCUGCUCCAGCCACAGCCUUGCUGACAAAUGUCAUGUUUGGUGCUGAUUUUUUGAUGCAGAUCAUUUGAUCGCCAGCUUUUUCAUAGAAACUGUGGCCAGAUAAUAUGAGGAAAAGCGUAGUUUCCCAUUAAUGACAUAGGGAGUAAAGUUCUUACAAUUUAUUUUUAGUUCACCAAACCAUUCUUGUCCUCAGAUUUACAUUCGUUAAAGCAAACAUUGCUGUAUACCCAACACACAUUUUCUCAGGUUGUCUCGUUUACACAUGCUCAUAUAAUUUCUGUAUGAACUAUAGCUGUGUCGUAUUCUUUUAAUUUUCAUACUGGAGGAUUUCAAAUGGAACCUAACAUAAUUAGAUUACGUGUAAUCUCUUCCCAUUUUGAUCCUAUUCUCAAGAGUGUUUGCAAAGAAGCUUACUUGAGUCUUAAAUGCACAACUUUAAAUCAUGCUGACGGUGACGAAUAGAGAAGCACGCUCUUAGGAAAACAUAUUGAUGUGCAGGACAAAAUCUCAUGACUUUAUCAAGUAAAAUAGGUAUCUCCAUUGGCAGCAUCUGCUUUAAAAUCCUCGCCACACCAUUUGUUAAACUUCUGCACAAAACCUACAGCAAGUUGAUUCAGAGUCUUUCCUUAUCCAUUUCUCUCCUGAAUCAACACAACCCUUAUUAAUAUCUGCUCGUAAGAGGGUUCCCAAAGAGACGGUAUAGUUUCUAUUAAGGUGUCAGCCUUUGAGAUGAACUGCAGUUUAGAAGCGUUUUCAAACAGCCAUCACCUUCCUGGUAGUUUAUUAAAAGAGAUUAUGUGUUGCCAGAGACAGCAAGCCUUGUCAGGUCAGGGCAAAACAACAUUUUAAGCCGAUUGGCUCAUAUAUCUCAAGGUAUGUGUGUCCUUGCACAAAUUCACUUUCCCCUCAAACCAGUAUUUAAGAAAAUCUGCCUUUCAUGAUGUUGAUCGAUCUGAAGUGUGGUCAGAUGGAAUCCUGCUUAUUAUUCUGAGGCUAGAGAAGUAGAAAAAACACCAAAUGUGAUAGUGAAUGACUGGAUUAUAAGGAAAUUCUGAGGAAAAAUGCCUGUUGUUUGGUGAUUGGUGUCUCAGUCAGAAAGCUCUUCUUUGCAUAAAAAUGUUGUGACACUCCAGAUGUAUUUGCUGAAUGUUUGGGAAGCUUCAUAGCGCUCUACAGCCCAGAGCUGGCUUUGUUUGCCAAAACUAAGGGGUGCCUUUAUUAACAAUGGUGCCUGUCUACAGGGCCCCCCGGCUUCUUUACAGGAUGAAACUGGGUAACUGGUUCCUCCUAAGACCCAAUGUAAACACCAGCCGUGGCAGAAUCUGUGAGCUCUUCUUCUUCAUCACCCAGGGAUGUGAAUUACCCGACAGUCCCCGAAUUCGGGCAGUGUGACUGCCAGCCGUGCGAUGGCCCCACUGUGGGACACCAACUCACUCGCUUACUGGUGUGAAACAGCUUGAGCGAGCUUGGCCACCCCCUAGUUGGCUUGUUUCACUCUACGGUUGCCAUAUGGGCUCAGUUAGGGAAAAGGUAAAUGGCUAGGACUUCCAUCUCCCUGGCAAGCGAUUUCGACAGUUAAAGCUUCCUAGGAAACCUUCACGCUGCUUCACCCUGAACAGGAGGCUGACCCCACACAGAUGGCUCAAGGCAGAGGAGGAAGAACGUGCUUUGAAGCCCAACAUGCAUCCCCCGUUUCGUGUUGUACUAUAUAAAUUCUACAUGAAGCAGAGCCGGGAAAAGACUCAAAAUAGGACACUGUUGGGAAAAAAAUGACUUUGAUCUUUCACACAGAGCUUUACCUGAAUGAACUGAAUCAUUUCUUCUCCAUCAGUCAUUUAUAUUUCUCUGCUUGUUUCAGCAGCAAAUGGAAAAGGUCAUAAAGAUUUAACUUUUGCACCCCAUUAGACAAGUAAUUACACUUUUUGCAGGAUACACUAUUGUAGCACAGAGCAUUUACAUGUUUUAUUGUAGCCUCCUGUUUUAAUUUGCUUGUAACUUCAUGAAAAUGUAUCCCUUUGUUGGUAUCUAAGAAAUGAUUCUAUUUAACUUUGACUUACUCCUGAUAUGCUGGUAGUUAUGGGUGAGCAAUAACAACCUUUCAUAGUGACUGUGCUCUGAAACCUGACUCUGUAAAAUACUGUCAUGAGAUUCCAGGUUCCUUGUCUUACUCUAACGCUUCAUCAGAUAUUCAGAAUUUAUAAAAAUGUAUCUUCCAACCACUGUCCUGGAAAACCACACUAAGGCACACAAAAGAUGAAGGUAAAGUGGUGUUCUGCUGAGCAUCAUUGCCAA